AAAUUCCAACUUUUUUCUUCUCUUCUUCCCCUCUAAUUUAAUUUUAACUUUAAAAGAGUCUUGCACCAUCUCUGUUUCUCUCCACGUAUUCUUAUAAAUUCCGAGGCUGCUUCUUCUUCUUCUUCUCCUUUUUUUCUCUGGGGUGUCUCUCUUCUUCUUUUUCUUCCUUUUCUCUCGCAUCGUCCCUCCUCCUGCUUAAGUACUCUCAUUCUUCUUCUCUCCCGGUAUCCUUGCUUUUCUUCCUCCUUCUUCUCUCCCUUGUAUCUUUCCUCUCCCAUCUUCUUCUCCUCUCCCAGUGUCUAUUCUUUUUCUUCUUCUUGUUUGUGAAUGAUGAUGAUUCCUCUGUCACUGCGGAAUCAACAAUUUCCUUGACACGCCUUGGACGAUACGACACACUUCCUUAUGUUCCACCCUUCUAGGGUUAUGUAAUCCAAGAAUCCCCUUUCUGUCGUUAGCAGAUGUAAGGAUGUAUGGAAGCAGCUUGUUAUUUUGACGGUGUCAGGUUGCCCGUUUUGACGCCUAAUCCAAAGCUGCUGUUGUAGCUGGUGCAAAGGAAAUAGCAGGUUUUGUAUCAGCUUCUGAACCAAUUUCAAAGUCAAACGUCAAUUGUAGAAUUGAAGAAAUUCUUGCUUGUUAUUCUGCUGUUACUCACAUUGUGGAGGAGUUCUCAAUUCCUGUUCAAAGGUAUGUUCCCAUUUCAUCUCUUUCUCUGUCUACCUCUUGGAACAUGGACCUUUGAUUCACUCUGCAGUACACCAACAGAUGGUUAUAUGAUGAUUUUGUCCAGAAUUUUUUUUCUUUUUUGGUCCAUUUAUAUGUACUUAUUUGCUCAUUUGGAGUAGUAGAGCUUCUACUGCAAUUUUAAGUUCUGAUGAUUAAAAUCUUAAUUUUGUCAGACUUGGUUGUCAUUCAUGAAAUUGACUUGAAUGGUAUUUGGUAUAGGAGCUCUGUAUUAGUUUCUAGAAUAAUAUGAUAUUAUAUAACAGUUUGCUUAUAGUUGCUUCUAUGAAUGCUUGCCAGUCUUGUCGAGCAAAAAUUAUGAUUUAUUGCUUCUGUUGGGGAGAAAUAUACAUUAUCUUUAUGCCAUUCUGAGAUUAAUGAAUUGGCACCAACUUUGAUCAUGUUUGUAUCAUUUGUUGUUGGUUGUCCUGUUGAGGGAGAAAUUCCACCGUCGAAAGUGGCAUAUGUGGCCAAAACACUUCAUGAAAUGGGCUGCUUUGAAGUUUCUCUUGGUGACACAAUUGGAGUUGCUACACCUGAAUUAACAACUCCCUCAACACGCUUGGACAAUAGGACUGCUUCCCUAUGUUCAACAAUUCUAGGGUUAUGUAUUGGAAGAAUCGCCUUUAUGUUGGUAAACUUUUUCUAUCUUGAAUUUUUGUUAAACUUCUUUAAAGGACCAUUGACAGUUAGGUGGAAAAUGAAGGGGAUAAAAAAAAUUGAUAAUUCAAAAAUUUUUGUUUUUGCUGAUUCCUAUUUCAGCCAAGGUUUUCAUUUGUUAGUUAUAUAUUUGGCUUUAAUUUCUUUUAUUGCAUUGUUUGGCCUAGAAGUAGAAAUCAAGUAGUUGAAAUUUGUGUCCACAAGCUAUGUUCAGGUAUGCAUUUCAAUAUUUUUAUCUUAUGAUGUAUUGGGUAUCCAUGCUAGUUUUGAGUUAAUGAUGCAGGGUUGGAGUUAGCUUGUUGUACUUGUGGGUUCUGUUACUGUCUUAAGCAGCAACUUGUUGAUACCACAGGUAACAAUACGGAAAUAUAUCUAACACCUCCAGGUUUUUAUACAAUUCUUCAUUAUAAAUUAGUUUCUGUUUAACAAAUUUGAGGUAGAAGAUAUGUUGUAAAUUCUCUUAUUUGCACUGUCUGAUUGAUUGUUUAUUUCUUUAUUUAUUUUUACUAAUUACAAAGAAAUAGUAGAUUCAUAAAUGUGAUUGCAGCUAUCAGCAUGAUUUACCUCUUUUAAUAUGUAACGCUUUUACUCUUCUAUUGCAGAUAGACGGUUCUAUGCUCAUGCAAUAAUGCUUCUUCCAAUGCUUUGACAUGAUAUGAUCUAAUAAUAACAGUCUAGUUUUGUCCUUCCUCUGUGUUUUACUAGGCAAUGUUCUCAAAUCAAUAUUUGAACUUACUAUUAAUUUCAAGCAUUUUUUUUUUUUUUUUUUUUUUUUUUUUUUGUUUCUUUUAGUAACUGCACUUAAAAUUUAUGGCAAAAGGAGUGUGAUAGAACAUGUAUUCGAUGUUAGCAUGGAAAAUUGAAAAUUAAGUGGGAGAGUAGUUGUAGACAAAUGUUAGCAUUGCUAUUUGGUCCUUAGGCAGUUCGAGUAAAUAACUAUGACUUUUAGGCUUGUAGACAUUUUUUUCUUGGAUUUGGAAAUCUAGAUUAUGAGCUUUGUCUUUUUGCAUGGAAAAAUGAAAAUAAAGUCGGAGAGUGGUUGCAGACAUAUGUUAGCAUUGCUGUUGGUCCUUUAAUUGGAGUUUUCAUACUCCCAAAAUAUGGAGUACUUUAACUGGAGUAUGUUCAUCUGUUCUUAAUGAGCUUGCGCAUGACAUGCUAUCUGUAAAUCCUGACUUCUUCAGAAAUCAACAUCUAGAUCUUCUAUGAGGCGUAGUAUACUUAUAUGCAUAUUCAAGUUGUAUACCAGAAUAAAUUUUCAUUAUAACUUUUGGUUCUUAAUUUUUUAUUUGCAACUCCUCAUAAACAGAUUGCUGUAUAUGAUAUGGUUUUGAUGAGCAGUUUAUUGAGUUCUCCUGGUCUAGGUAAUAAAUGCUUCCUUUAGAUUUACCACUUUACAAAUUUCAUGUAACUGUUAUUUUGGAAUUGAAUGUGACUAUUGUUUUUGAUUGAUACCAAUCUAAAAAGACAAAAAGAAAUAUGAACAAACAGAUAAACAUAAAAAGAUGAAGUGAAUUCCAUUUUUUGCCCUGGAACCAUUUCUCAUAUUCAUUUAUUUUCUACAGAAUCGGUCCACUUUGCACUGCUGAGUUGGGUUUUCUUCUUCUUUUUUUUUUUAAUUUUUUUUAAUUUUUUUAAUUAUAACAUGAAAUGUUUAGAUUGUUAUCUUAUGGGAGAUUGAUUUUCAGGUAUGCAUAUAGAUCUCGGGUUCCCAAAGUGGUUGUAUGUACUUCAUUUGGACGAAGUGAACUUGAAUGGUGUGGACCUUUUAGUUCUGUUGUUUCUUCAAUCUUUACCUGUUUAAUUUCCAUGAAUUUCAUUUUUCCUGAUACUGCAUAAUAUUUCCAAUUGCUGCAUGUUUUACCAUAAUGGUUUUAGCCUUGCAUACAUUAGAGAAGGUAAAGAUUAUUUGCAAUUAACUCUACUUGUGUUUAAUUGUCUUUUCAGCAUUUUCCCAUCAACCAAACUGCUCAUAUGUAUAUAUACAUAUUUGAGGAACACAAAAAAAAAAACAAACGAACAAACAAACUAACAAAGAACCUAUUAACUUGGUUUUGCAUAAGAAAACUUAGGUUUAUAAAUUAACUCAAUAACAAACUUAAGUAACAAAAAGGAAAGCUCUAGCAGCAGAGCAGUUAGAAAUUGUAACAAGCAUAUUGUUAUUAAUUAUUUGUUAGGUUUGUAUUGCUAUCUAGUAAGCUGUUUAAAACUUGUGUGUGGCACUGUUAAUCGAAUAUUCUCAAGGAAUAAUACACAGAAAAUUUGUCCUUUUUUUAAAAUUUUUUUUUUUUAUUAAAAUGGAUUUAAACAUGAAACAGCUACACCGAAAAUUUCUCAUUAUAACAUCAUUUCUUAGCAUACAUUUUCAGGUGUUCUUAUUUUUCCUUUUUAUCAACUGCUCAUGAUAAUUAGUAAGUAUUGCUGAUUGGUCCUGUCCUAUUGAAUAAUCUCAUUAGAGAAGUUCUGAGGGGCUGAUAUAUGCAUUUAUAUUGGUGGUUCCUAAUUGUUUACUUUCCUAUCCUUUUUGGCUGAUUGCGUUCAUUUCGGAUGCUUAUUUGACUUUAACCUCAGGUUAGUCAAGCAUGCACUCUACAUGUAACCUGUAAGAUGUUUUUUUUUAUUAUUAUUGCAAUUUUUUUUUAAUUUCUGGACGUGUACAUGCAACAUGUUUUUUACUUAUACAGCUUUAAUUAAUUUGGAAACAUUAGUUUGUUUUUAGUUUGUAAGUGGACUUCCAAAGAGUUAUUGGUUCAUAUGCGACAGUGUAACCAGUGUGACGUGUAGGGAUUGAAAUAUUGUUUGGUAAUUUCCUCGCCAGUAGGUCUACUUGCACAGCUAGACCACCAUUAUAAGCAAUAUUAAAAAUUUAAUAUGGAAAAGUCAACAUUUAACGGUUGUCAAUUAAAUUACAAAUUGACAUGUGGAUUCCAUUGAUCAUCUAUUUUUCAUAAAAUGGCAUCAAAUUUUUCCAUGCAAAGCUGUGUUUGUGUUUUGUCUUUGGAUAAAUGGGAAGGGAGACCAAUACAAGCUCAUUUUUAUUAAUAGUAGGAGGGAAGAAGUUGCAUUUAGUAUAUGGUGUUGCAAUCCUCUUAAAAUAAUUUUUUCCAUAAAAUCGAGUUGAACAUGUGGUGGUGAAAAUAUUAACUUAAACAAAUAUUAUUAUAAAGUGUAUGUGUUGUGAAGUAUGACAUUUUUAUAUAUAGAACAUGUUGUGUUGCAGUCCUCCUAUCAGAUUACAUCAUAUAGACCAAUGAGCCAAGUGAGAUUACAAUUUCAGCUCAAUGAUGAUAAACAUAUGGUAAAUAUCCUUACUGCUUGCCAUAUUGUACUAAGUUUCAUUAUUUCUUCAUUUUAUUUUAUUUUUAUUUAAUUUUUUGAAGUUUGGAUUUUAAAAAUGUAUAAAGCAAAUGGAGUUGAUGAUUCUGCUAGCAAAACUAAAAAUGCUAUAGAGCUGAUACUAAGAAAAUUGACUGGUAGCAAAAGAGGAUUGUUGAUCUGGAAUUUAAUUAGUUGGAUAAUAAGGUAGCACGGUCUUCUUUGUCGGGCCUUUAUUUCUUAGCUGGUAAUCUUGGCUUACUUUAUAAUAACAAGGGUAGUUUGCAUUAUUGAUCCCUAUACUAUGUUGCAAGUUACAAGUUGAUCUUUAAACAUUAUUAUUAUUAUUA